AUUGAACGCUGGCGGCAUGCCUUACACAUGCAAGUCGAACGGUAACGGGCCUUCGGGUGCCGACGAGUGGCGAACGGGUGAGUAAUGUAUCGGAACGUACCUUUCAGUGGGGGAUAACGUAGCGAAAGUUACGCUAAUACCGCAUAUUCUGUGCGCAGGAAAGCAGGGGAUCGCAAGACCUUGCGCUGAUUGAGCGGCCGAUAUCAGAUUAGCUAGUUGGUGAGGUAAAGGCUCACCAAGGCGACGAUCUGUAGCGGGUCUGAGAGGAUGAUCCGCCACACUGGAACUGAGACACGGUCCAGACUCCUACGGGAGGCAGCAGUGGGGAAUUUUGGACAAUGGGGGCAACCCUGAUCCAGCCAUGCCGCGUGAGUGAAGAAGGCC
rnacentral:rRNA from 1 species